rnacentral:lncRNA from 1 species
CUGCACACCACUGCGCAAUGCGAAGAUAACUUUAUCAUCAGGAUUCUAGUCGAUGGGGGAUCCUGCCUCAACAUUUGUCAGUUGGUGACUCUCAGGAUAUUGGGCAGGAUUGCACGAGGCAAAAGACGAGGCUAUCAGUGUCAAAUCUUUUGAUGGAUCUUAGAGGACCCUUAUUGGAGAAAUUAGCCUAUGCCUACAGAUGGG